GCCUGCUUAGCAUAGUGGCUAAUGCGUUGCACUUGUAUCACCACGACGACAUGCAAAGAUCACAGGUUCGAUUCCUGUAGUAGGCA
rfam:Thielavia terrestris NRRL 8126 chromosome 1, complete sequence.